CAGUCGUUUCCAAACCACAUGUGCGAUGCAAACAAAGAGGGACAAACAAAAACCAAAAGUGAAAAAUUCCCACUCGUGAGCCAUCGCCUUCAGUUUUCACUUUUCAUCAGUUCUGCAAGUAUAAAGUCAAAAUCGCUUCCCCUCGCUCAGCCUGCCAGCCAGAGCCAGCCAUCGCCUCGCGGAGGCUCACGCCAAGUUCGCUUGCCGCUUCCCUCCUCCCCGGAAUCCUCCUCGAUCCCCAAAGCCCAAACCCUAGCACGGGGGAGCUGCGUCGGGCGAAUGGAGCAGCAGGUCUUCUACAGGGCGCUCGGGCUCUCGCUCGUCGGCGGCCUCAGCACCGCCCUCGGUGCGCUGUUUGUGGUUUUGAAUCCUGCCCCUAACCUUAAAGUGCUCGGGCUUCUACAGGGUUUUGCUGCUGGACUUAUGCUCAGCAUUUCCUUUCUAGACUUGGCACACAAUGCCCUGAAUUCUAUUGGCUUCUUGAAGGGGAACCUCUGGUUUUUUGCAGGAGUUCUUUUCUUUGGUUUCAUUAUUAAGUUUAUUCCAGAGCCAAAUUUUUCGCCACCAGCUGAUCCAAGCGAGAAAAAGCAGGCUGAUGAUGCUGGAACAGGUAAAGAUAUAAUGAGAAAACAUCGCCGGCAAGUGUUUUUCAGUGGUAUUAUCACUGCUGUUGGAAUUGUCUUGCAUAAUAUUCCAGAGGGAAUGGCUGUAUUUCUUGGAUCUGUCAAGGGUCUUCAUGUGGGUCUGAACUUGGCUGUUGCUAUUGCUUUACAUAACAUACCAGAGGUACAAAAAUCGAUUAUUAAGCUUUUGCCAUUAAAUGAGAAAGAUUAUCUCAAGUUUGAAUUAUUGGCACCUAUGAUAGCUCUUGGAUGCUUUUGUGCAUGCAGUAAGAUUCAAAUGGCACAAAUUUUAUCUUUGUUCUAAAGCUUCGAAAUUCUAUGGUCAAUAUGAAUGCCAAAUUCUUGUGAUUACCUUUAUAUGCCAAAUUAAUGUAUAUCGUGGCAAAAUGGCUCAACCACCCUCUGAAAUUUUGCUGGGUAUCUGAUAAUCCUUUUUAUCCAUUUCUUUUAGUUUCAACUUCAUGAGAUUUGCUAGAAUCAGGUAGCAUCUGAAGCAGUAUUAAAAAGAAUAUGUGUCUACAUAGUGUUAGCACUUAGCAGAAUGUAAUAUAAUUUAAACUUUAAAUGGUGCAACAUACAGCUGAGGAAUUAAAGAAUUUCAUUUUGUGAGGAGAAUAUAUGCUAUGUGCAUAAAAAUGGUAACUGGGCAGUGGGGAUACGUUGGCAUAUAUAUUAUGUAUGCCAUUCAGGUUAUUUUCUUCUGUAUAUUUGUAUCUUUUAUUUGGAUAUGUUUGAGUUUCAUCCAGUUUGGUUCAUUUUGCUCAGUUCCAUAUACUAAGUACUUAUCACUUUGGUCUAGACUCCAUUUCCUUCUCAAUAUAAUGAUAGACAGGUCUCCUAUCCUGCGUGUUUGAUAAAAAAAAAGAUGACUUACCACUUUCUUGCCUUUUCAGGGGGUUGCUGUAGCUCUUCCAAUCUAUUUUGCUACCAAAAGGUACUUGUUAUCCCAUGCAGAGAUUGGUGAUGAAUGAAAUUUAUUUUUCAUGGCAGCCUUCAGAGAUGAAUCUAGCAUUGAAUAUAUCUAAUUUGCGGGCAAAAAGUUUCUCUAAAAUAAAUCCUAAAAUAUCAUCUGUUCAAAUAUGUCAUGAAUGUUUCAUCUCUAUAAUACAAUGAAACACAGCUCUCCAUGUGUUUUCAAAAAAAAAAAAACCUGCCAUGAGUGUGAGAUAUGCAUGUUGUACAAGUUGAGAACUUGAACUACUUAUAGAAAGAAGGUAGAUGCUAGCUAACGUUUCCUUCUUUUGUUCGUAAUGCUUGCUCAUAAUAUUUUAACCAUUCUGUGAAUGGGCCUCUAGCUGAGUUGGUUUUGGUGGCUCAAUCCCCUCGUCUGCAUGCCAAAGCACAGGUCUAAGGCCUGGCCCGGUCAUGGUUGUUCUCACAUGGACUACGGUGCCGUUGUAUAUGGGUGGGCAGGGGUUCGGGGGUUUUCUCAUCCUGUGUGAGAAGAUCUUCUUAAUACAAUGCUGGGGGCUGUCUUAACCCCCGCAGGUCGAUUUUUUUUAAUUAUUUUAACCAUUCUUGUAUUUAUUGGGCUUUUGGUUAUGUAGAUGACAUUUCUAUGUUUUUUAAUGUCACAGCAAAAAGCAGGCAUUUGUUGUGGCAGCCGGCUCUGGUUUGGCCGAGCCACUAGGGGUUAUUGCUGUAGCUUUCUUGUUUCCAAGCAGUUUGAAUCCUGACAUUCUUGAAGGCCUACUUGGAUCUGUUGGUGGUGUCAUGGCUUUCCUCACUUUGCAUGAAAUGCUACCUCUUGCAUUUGACUAUUGUGGCCAGAAGCAAGCUGUCAAAGCUGUUUUUGUGGGCAUGGCCUGCAUGUCUGCAAGCUUGUACUUCUUGGAAGUCAGCUUACCAAAGGAGAUAAGCUUGUAGCAUCGCGCUGCAGGUACUAGGAGGGUCAUCUGAAGCUGAGCUUGUCAGUAGACCCUAAUUUCUGGGAGGAGUGUGUGUUACUGGAGAGGAAACAACACACCAAAACCAUGAACAAUGGCUACUGGCGCGCUGCAAUUGAUAUUGUACAUUUUGCCAUGAAAAAAACUAAAAGGAGGGGGAAACAGCAUUUCCCCAGAUGUAAUAGCCAGAUUAGUCGUGGAUAUGAAAUAAUUGAAAAAAAAGUAAUAAUGUACUGUAGUACUCUGUCGGCUGACAAUUAAAGCUUCGAGGUACUAGGACACACCAAGUCACCAAUUAAACAGUUUCCGUUUCUAGUUCUCU